rnacentral:misc_RNA from 1 species
AUUUGACGAGUCCCGAGUUUGAGGAUCAUGUAAGUGCCUUCACUACAUAAUAAGCUUCUUCCUUUUGUUUUUCUUCCUACUCUAUUUCAUUUUCAUUUCUUCAUCUCCUUGACUUUUACAUUUUUCCCCCCUAACAUAUCUUUUGAGGCACCCAUCAUAUUUAUUAGACAUCACGAUACUAGUCUACUGUUCAAGAGUAAUGAAUGAAAAAAGAGGAAUUUCUUUUAAGAGUUCCGUUAUUCUUGGAGCUUUAUUUAGUUUUAUGAGAGAUUAGCCUUGAGAACUUGAGCUUGUUUGUUAAAGCAGCACCAACAACGGAGAAUCAUGACAGUGUUACUCACAAUACUACCACCUGUUUGAUAGAAGUUCUAAAAGAUUAAAAUUUGAUA